CCCCUUGCUGCGCCUCGCAAAGCAACAAAACACAGAAUAGUGGCAAGGAUUGCCUUGUCAAGACAAGAACAAUGUAAGGAAGAAGAGCAAGAAAAAGAUCUAAGGAAAAAUCAGUGUUAGAAAAUUGUGGUAAGAGGAUUAUAGAGGGUAUGAUAGGUUUAUGGACUCAGCAAUAGAAAAGGAAAAGCAAGAUGCUUGAAUAUAUGGGGCAAGGGAAAAUAGAGGCUGGUGGAAAGUAUAAGGGGCAGAGACACACAGGAUGUUGUAUAUAGACAUGUGGGGUUAUUGGGAAGAGGCACAAAACGGGUUAAAAAUUGUGCCAGGGAAGGGAGAGAAAUGUGAGAAAGACACUGGUGGUUGUUUGGGAAGGAUACCUGUGAUGUGUAAAAGUUGUGAGGGUCACAGAAGGGUGACAAGGAGAGAUGGUGUGACUGACAAAAGAUGAGAUAAAGUGGAGAAAAACAGGUGAGCAGAGGAUAAGAUAAGAUAAAAUAUAAAAACAAACCAAAAAAAACAAAAUACAAAACAUUGCACCAUAACAAUAAACCUCUUGUACACACACACACACACACACACACACACACACACACACACACACACACACUUUGAACAGGUUUUAAUUACACUCCUUGUACACACACACACACACACACACACACAGAUUGCAACUACACCCCUCAUUCACACACACACACACACUGACACAGAUUUCUAAUUCAAUCAUCAUUUACACAUGCUUACAGUCUACACUCAUACACCCAUGCUUCACACUCACAUUUGCACUCCUCACAAUGCACUUCUAGAGUCAUAUAAUGCUCAAAUGUACUCCUGUGUUCACAAACAGGUGGUUCAUACAGCUCUAUCCCUGAAUUUAUACACAGACUCCACUCUGAUGCACUUUGGCAUACAUAUAUCAUACACCUCCAUGUAUUCACACACAUAGGCACUCAACAAAAAAUACACCCCAGCAUUCACAGAUACUCAACAUAAAAAGAACCUUAUAUUCACGUCUUCAUUCCAUGCAGAUACACCUCUGAUUUCGCACACAUCUGUUAUACUCAUUCGUAGAACACUGUAUUAACACUCUUAAACUACAUGAAAAUAACUCUACAACAACACAUAUUGUACUUUAAGAUUGAUGCGCAUCAACAUUACACACACCUAUAUCCCUACUUGAACACAUAGUAUGGUAAUAUUAAGGCACAUACAAAUACAGCAGUUUUUUUGCAUCGAAUUUGGGGACACUUUGGUGCUCAAUUACGACAUCAUAGUCUAGGACUUUGGAAAAGGGCCGGGGAAGAGCCUUGCUUUUAGUUUGUGGACCUUACUAUGCUGCUCAUUUGGUGGUAGUUUGACUUAUCCUGUGUUCCUGUAGUUCUGACAUUGACCAGGCAUGUUCUUGACAAUCUCUGAUUGCUAACUGCCCUGACCUUGCCUUGUUGGAUGACCUGCUGUCCUGAAUCCUUACUUUUGUUUAUUUACUGAUUUGUCGUUAGUUUAGAACUUGUUGGUGAUUUCUUUCUUGUUAAGCCUCUAUAAUGUCUAGUAAUACAUCGUUCUAACCCUUGUCUAUAUCUGCAGUUAUGGAUGGAUCCUACACUUACCUGCACCUAACUUCUUUUGUUCUGACAAUUCACUCUCAAAGUAAACAUUGCUUAAAUCUUUAAUGUUUUUGAACCAAUGUGCUUGGUUAUUGAAAUCUCCCCUAAAAUUUGAUUUCUUCCUUGUAUACAGCACUGUGUUCUAUCAACAACCCUGAUAAACCAUCAAGUCCCAUUGUGAAUUGGGAAAGGGAUAUAGGUGAAUCAGUUGAAGGCAGUGAUUUAGAGGGGAUCUGGCUGCCUCCAAAAAGUAUAUACUUGGCAGGAUUGCAAUCCCAAUAUUGUAAAAUGCUUUUCUGUUCAUACAAUACUCAUUCAGAACUGUAACGAAUGGAAAUUUUCCCACUCCGUUAGUGUUGUUAAUUCUGGGUCCAAGACUACUUUUUACCACAUGUAUUUGCAAUUCCCAGGGUAACCACUUAAUGGACUAAUAUUAAAGAACUUGUUGGUCAAUUUCUCUGUAAAGCUGAGCCCCUGGACUCUUCUCCUCUACUAUCCACUUUAUAAUAUAACUAGAGCGGAAAAUAAACUUUUGUGCAGAAUUUCCUUACGGUAAGAACGAUAAAGAUGUGAAAUGCUCUGCCUGAAGAGGUGGUUUUUAUCAGAGUCUGUACAGAUCUUUUUUUUUUAUUCUUAAUUUUGUGUCAUGUUGCACACGGUGCCAGAUUAAGAGCCUAGUGGGUUUGGUGCUGACAAUUAUGAGGGGCCUAAGUACAGAAUAUUAUCGACAGAAAACACUAAAACACUCAUACCUCUCAGGCAUUAAGUAUCUGGUGGAGAUGUUGCCGGAGGGAAACACAUAGGAUGCAGCUGUAAGAAAACUCAGAUUCUCUUAAAAUAUGCUAAUCUCUCUCUAAUACAUGCUUUCACCUUUCAAGUAAAUUCAUAAUCCCUAACAGCAGUGUCCAGUGAAGCAGGAAGUCAAUGGGCGGUGUAAAAGGGUGGGCCACUGACGCGAAUCAUGUAACCAAAGGGGACGAACAUGUCCAAAAAGGAGGCGUGUCUGCCCCCAAAAUUGGAAGGCUAGCCUGGCAUGAAUGCAUGUCAGGCUGCCUGCCAAUCAUGCAUGCUGGCCAACAGCACCGUGAGUUUGGCAUAAAUGCGUUGAAUGUUGCACUCGCUCCAUGCUUUCUAAGGACUGUCCCCUAGCACUCACAUGUCCACUUGUCUCCUUACCUUCUUACUAUCAGGUAGAAGCUCCUGGCAUACGGUCUGAGACAGAGAAAAGGUGGAUGUAGUGAGUGUAGAAGAAAGGGAAUAUGCCACAGAGUUAGAGAGACCAAAGUCAGCAUUACCUUAACUAAUUUCAUUUCAGCUAGUCCACACAGGUUUUGUUUUCAUAUAUUCCUGAUAAGUUUCCAUACUUAAGCAAGAGUAUGUGAAGAGUAGUUACGGUUGCCACCUUACUUUGAAAAAAAUACAGGCCUUGCUAAUUUGCCUAACUAAUCACAUGAUGUAAAUCACAAGGAGUGACAUAAGAGAAAAUGCUGUAAAAUCACCACAAAAAUACUUAGUUUAAUUCUGCUGUAUAGAUGGAUAGCUCCCAGUGUCAACCUGUCGCCCAGUGUCCCCUAGUGUCUGUGUACCCAGUGUCCCCAUGUCACUUGGGGACACUGGGAGACACACGGGGACACUGGGAAACAUGGGCACACAGACACUUUGGACACUAGGAACACUGGGAGACGUGGGGGCACUUAGACACUUGGGGACAUUGUGUCCCAAAGUGUCUGUGUCACCAUGUGUGUCUGUGUCCCCAAGUGUCUCAGCAUCCCCAGAGGCCUCCAUGUGUCCCCAUGUCUCAGGGCCCCCUAGUGUCUCUGUCUCCCUGCAGCCUUUACUCCAUCCUUCACUUCCCUGAGCUGUAGACUGUCUCUGCAGGCUGGGAGCUGCUGUGCAGUUGCUCCCCCAUGGAUCAGUGAUAUAUGCUGUAACUUCCAUCAGCCCCUAUGUUAAUCUGACCCUGGUUGUACAUGAAUCUGGUGAAAUGAAGUGUACAGAAAUCAACAAUCAAGCAUAGGAACAAUGGCUCCGCAAACAGGGUAUGUCAUGUUAGAAAAGACAGUAUGCAGCAUGAACAUUUUUUUUUUUUUAAACCCUGUAAUUUAGUCAAUCUAAGAAUGUGUCCCGUGUGACUUCAGUGACUUAAAGGGUGAGGGCUGUCGAGCGUCACUGUGCAAUAACUUUUAACCCACUGAGGGAUGCACCCCCAACUAAUGUAACUGCUUGGUUCCUCAGACCGAGUUGAUCAGGGAUAAGUACUCCUUUUCCAUAGGGGUAGUAGAUGUACCGCAUAGCAGGCCCCACGUGUAGCAGCUAUGUUGGGUAGCUGGUGAGGGUAAUUGCGCGAGAUGUUGCUAUUUUACCAAAGGAGUAAUGUGUGUGUAACAGAAACUAAAAUGUAAAAGUAGUACUAAACAAAAUGUGAGGUGUCUCUUAUUAGAAUGGAGAAUAAUGGUAGGUAUUGGUGGAAAGACAGUCCCUUAGGAGGGACAGGCGGGGUUUCACCCUCUGGAUAAGUCCCUCAUGUUGGUGCGGCAGUCCAUUGCACCUGUUGUGAUUGUCGGGGGUAAACUCCAGUGUGUUGGCUGGAUUCAGCUGUGACAUGCUCAUUCCUUGUUGGGUCGGUGUCUUCAAGAGCCCCACGGUGGUUAGCAGGGCUUGUAGCUUUUGGGAGCUGUGCACUCUGUGGGCAGUCCCUCUGUGAGAAAAGAGGAGCGCUCGUGGGGUUUCCCAUCUGUAAGGUAUUUCAUUAUUUUGCAGGUGUUGCAAGAAGGGUUGCAUUCCCUUUCUCCAAGUAAGGGUAUUCCUUGUAAGGUCUAGGAAGAUAGACAGCGUAGAGCCUUUGAAGAGUAACAGGGUCUUCCCCCUGAGUGCCACGAGGAGCGAUGCCUUUUCUUGGAGUGACUGGAAGCGCAAGAUGAGAUCUGUAGUUGCUGAAACCCUUGCCAGCUUCGGCAGUCUAAACAUUCCAUCGAUUCGUAUGGCUUUUGCCUGUUUAGGUGGUAACCGUUCGGCAAGGAGGUGUCUGAUAAAGUGUGGCGCCUCUGUUGUCCCCACUGAGUCGAGUAUGCCUCUUCCAUGGCAUGAAUUCUACCCACGGUAGUGGUUUGUUGGUGCUGUAGAUCAGCUAAUUGUUGCUCUACAACUGUCAGCCGUGAGUCUUGAGUGCUGGAGGUGGCCCUUAGGGGAGACUAAGUCACAAAGUGACUAAAGCACGCAAGCUUGCUGCCUAGGUGUUCUCUUUGACUCCAUCUCCUUCACACCUCAUGUUCAGUCUAUCACCAAAUCCUGCCGCUUCCAUCUCAAAUACAUUGCAUGCAUACUUAACGCCAGAUGCGACUAUGGUGCUAGUUGAUUCCAGUGUCCUUUCUCGCUUCUCAGUGGUCUUCCAUGCACCCAACUAUGUCGUUACAGUUCAUAAUGAAUGCUGCGGCGAGGCUCAUCUACCUGUUUGCCCGCACCUCCCAUGCCUCACCCUUCUGCCAGUCCCUACAUUGACUUCCUGUAAGAUACAGGGCUCAAUUUAACAUUCUGGUUCUUGCUUUCAAAUCUCUACAUAAUGCUGCUCCCACCUAUCUAUCCUCCCUAAUACACAAGUAUGUCUCGUCUAGGCCCUUACGCUCUGCUGAAGACUUAAGUCUAUCUUCUCUCCGUACUCCCACUUCUGAUGCUCGCCUUCAAGACUUCUCGAGGGCUGCACCGUUCUUGUGGAACUCACUUCCCUCCUCCGUUAGAUGCUCACCCAGUCUCCACUCCUUCAAAAAAAUCAUUAAAAGCCCACUUCAUGAAAGCAUAUCAAUUAAACUGUUUCCUGAUUUCUCUCUUGCAAUUGUCAUUAGUCUAAUAAUAUCCUUACCUUUUGUGUCACUUUUCCCCACUCCCUCUAGCAUUUAAGAUCACUGAGCAGGACCCUCAACCCCUCUUUCCUGUGUGUCCAACCUGUCUGGUUACUACAUGUUUGUUCGUCCACCCACUGUAAAGCACUGCGGAAUUUGUUGGCGCUAUAUAAAUAAUAACAUAGUAAUAAUAGUAAUAAUAAUGUUAGAAAGCAAUGGGUAGGAACUGUAUUUCCUGAUAUGCAAUCCUUUCCUCUGUGAUUUUGUAAAUGCUUUUAAUCGUGUCAGGAAUAAAGUUCUAAGACAGUGAGCACUAUGGAUCUAUUAUCUUUCUUCUAGAUGUAAAUCAGAGGUGGCAAAAAAGGUAGAUCUCCAGAUCCAAAAAACAACAAUCAGAACAAGGCUUGGAACGCAACACAACGAACAGCUGUAUGGAAUACGAAUUUUGAGAAGGCAUAUAAAUAUGGGAGCAGGGACCAGGAAAUCUAUUAUACCAGACUGAGGAAGGC